AUGUUGUUGAAGUUGUUCAUUUUUGCAUCAGUUUAUCAUGAGUGUCAUGGAGAAGACAGUGUUGAUCAGCCAGAUAAACACAUCACUGAAUUUGAAGGAAAACCAGUAACAUUGCAAUGCAAAUAUAAAACCUCUUCAUCACAACCGAACCACUUCUGGUACAUCCAAAGAGCUAAUGACUUUCCCAAAUACAUGCUGAGGAGAAAUAAAUAUGGAGGUGAAGAUAAUGACGCUCAGUUCCAGGAGAGAUUUGACUCUGAAGUGUCAUCAGAUUCAGUUCCACUGACAAUCCAGAAUCUGCGUGUGUCUGACUCUGCUGUGUACUACUGUGCUCUGAGG